rnacentral:lncRNA from 1 species
GGGCACAGGAGUGGCUUUCUCUCCUUAAUGACAGAGAAGCUGAGAGUGUGGCAGUUUUCAUCUGUUUGGGCAGUGUUGCCCAAACAUUUCCUUUGGUGUUCCUGCCUGUGAAUUCUACUUCUGAACAAAGGAGUUCUCCCUGUACAAGUCAGUCCUCCAUCUUUUAGAUCAGCACUGGUUCUGGCAACUAAGGUCAUCUGAGCCUUGUCUAGACCUGUGCCUUUAAAAUAAACAAACUCCAAGAAGAAAAUCAAUACCUUAGGUGGAAGAAUUCAUGCAUUUCAGAGCUUCAGUGAUAAACUCUCGUUUUCAAGAGAGGAGCUUCUGCCAACAGAGAGAGAAUAUGUAAAUCUUGUUUUAAGAAACAGUUUUGACCUGGGUGAUAGAACUAAAAGGAAGAAUUCUUUCCUCUGCAAAAGACUAAGAACACAUGAGUGCUGUUCUCCAGCUCUACUCUGGCUGUACAGACAUCCUGGCUCAGCCCGUGCCUCCCCACAGAGUUGCUGUGGCUGCCCGUUCUGGUUCCAGACAGUCUCUUCUGCUGCUGCCCACGUGUAGGUGAGUCUAAGGCUGCUUUUGCUGCCUCUGUGGAGAAUGUUAAUAGUGAUUCAGCUUUAGCUCUGGCUUCUUAUCUUACUGUAAGUCUGGAACUUUGGUGGGUUUUCUUGGUUUUUCUUUUUUUUGAGCUUGUGAUUUAUCUUGUGAAAUCAAUUCACAUCUACGCAGCAAAAGUGAUCUGAGUCUCAGUUGUUUGAACACUCUAAGAAAAUCAGAUACUUCACUGAGGAGAAAAGGAAACCUGUGUUGUUUGCCAAGUUUCAGGCUUGGAUGGAGACGUGCUGGAGCUUAAAUGUCAGCCAAGUGGGCCAAGUCACAACCUUUGAUAAACUUUCUUAAGUGCUGUAAGAAUUGCUGUGUUUUGUCUGUGUUUGUAUGAAUUCAAUUUAGCAGCUUAGAGUUGAGUUUCCUCAUCAGCUCCUUUCUUUUUAUUUCAUGUUUAUUGUUUGUUGUGUCCUUGAAGCUGUUGUUUUAAUUGAACACUGUACAGAGUGGAAAAAAAUGUGUAAAGAGAAGAAAUAAAUGUGCUUUCACAUUUCUUUAAAAAAUUAAA